GAUUAUGGCUCAGGAUGAACGCUAGCGACAGGCUAACACAUGCAAGUCGAGGGGCAUCACGGGAGUAGCAAUACAACUGGUGGCGACCGGCGCACGGGUGAGUAACGCGUAUGCAACCUACCUAUCAGAGGGGAAUAACCCGGCGAAAGUCGGACUAAUACCGCAUAAAACAGGGGCACCGCAUGGUGAUAUUUGUUAAAGAAAUUCGCUGAUAGAUGGGCAUGCGUUCCAUUAGGUAGUUGGUGAGGUAACGGCUCACCAAGCCGACGAUGGAUAGGGGAACUGAGAGGUUGGUCCCCCACACUGGUACUGAGACACGGACCAGACUCCUACGGGAGGCAGCAGUGAGGAAUAUUGGUCAAUGGGCGGGAGCCUGAACCAGCCAAGUCGCGUGAAGGAAGAAGGAUCUAUGGUUCGUAAACUUCUUUUGCAGGGGAAUAAAGUGCAGGACGUGUCCUGUUUUGUAUGUACCCUGAGAAUAAGGAUCGGCUAACUCCGUGCCAGCCGCCGC
rnacentral:rRNA from 1 species